rnacentral:rRNA from 1 species
AACGAACGCUGGCGGCAGGCCUAACACAUGCAAGUCGAACGCUGUAGCGAUACAGAGUGGCGGACGGGUGAGUAACGCGUGGGAACGUGCCUUUCGGUUCGGAAUAACUCAGGGAAACUUGAGCUAAUACCGGAUACGCCCUAUGGGGGAAAGAUUUAUUGCCGAAAGAUCGGCCCGCGUCCGAUUAGCUAGUUGGUGUGGUAAUGGCGCACCAAGGCGACGAUCGGUAGCUGGUCUGAGAGGAUGAUCAGCCACACUGGGACUGAGACACGGCCCAGACUCCUACGGGAGGCAGCAGUGGGGAAUAUUGGACAAUGGGCGCAAGCCUGAUCCAGCCAUGCCGCGUGAGUGAUGAAGGCCCUAGGGUUGUAAAGCUCUUUCGCCAGGGACGAUAAUGACGGUACCUGGAUAAGAAGCCCCGGCUAACUUCGUGCCAGCAGCCGCAGUAA